rnacentral:rRNA from 1 species
UACGGGGGGGGCAAGCGUUGUUCGGAAUUACUGGGCGUAAAGGGCUCGUAGGUGGCCAACUAAGUCAGACGUGAAAUCCCUCAGCUUAACUGGGGAACUGCGUCUGAUACUGGAUGGCUUGAGUUUGGGAGAGGGAUGCGGAAUUCCAGGUGUAGCGGUGAAAUGCGUAGAGAUCGGAAGGAACACCAAUGGCGAAGGCAGCUUGCUGGGCCACACCUGACACUGAGGUACGAAAGCGUGGGGAGCGAACAGG